CCUCUCCGUAUACACUACGUAUACCUUCCCAAUCUUCCUUUUGCAGUGGAGGUAAAUUCAUGGAGUUUUAUUUAUCUGUUUUUUAGGUUUUACUUCCGACCCAUUUUUACUCUCCCAUCUUCCCACAAAAAGAUCCUUUGGUUUGUUUGGAGAAAAGGUUGGAACUUGAAAGAAAUAUUGAGCGAGAGAAUAAAAACCUCAAAGAAGAGAUGCCACCUUCUGUGUAUUUGCCAUUUACUUCUUAGCUUCACGGCAUUCACGGAAGGUGGUGUUUUGACUUUUAAAGCCUAAAGAGAG